rnacentral:rRNA from 1 species
AUGUCUAUUUUAUAUAAUUAUAUCCUUCAGUGUAUGAGACUACCUAACAUAUUGGAAACUGCAGAUUUAGAUCUGACCCUGAACAUAGAAGAUGACUACAAAGACGAGGUUAAACCCAUGCCCGGCUCACCUCCAACAGAUGUGGUAGACUCACCUGAUGAAGACGAGAAGAGGGCCUGGCACAAUGAGGAGAGGAAAAGAAAGAUAGAAGAGAAAAUAAAGGAGGCAUUGGAGAGGCGGAAGAAGAGGAAGCAGGAGCAAGAGACAAAGAAAGAGGAGGAAAAAAGGGUACAAAAGCGCAUCGCAGGGGCUGACAGUAUUGCAAUGGCCCUGCAUUGA